UUUGAGAGAUCUUCACAUAGUCUUUAUCAGAAAUGUAAUUUUUGCUUUUCUCAAACACUCUAACACUUUAAUGUUUUUGUUAGUUUUUUGCAUCAGGGUUAUACAAGCCUCUUCAAGAGUGAUUUUGGAAUCUUCCUUUCUUCUUGAUUAUGUAAAGUAUGCAAGCCAGAAGUCAGUGGAGCAACAUAUAUAAAGUACUGAAAGAAGAACACAACUAUCAAACCAGAGUUCUAUGGCUCAUGAAAAUCUUUUAUAAAAAUGAAAAUGAAAUGAAAUAAAAAUAUUUUCAGAUUUUUAUUAUCAGCAAACCUGCACUAUAGGAAAUAUUAAGAUAACUUCUUCAGGCAGAAAAAAGAUGAGUAUAAUACUAAAUGCAAAUUUGGAUCUAUGUGAAGAAAUGAAGACUUCUGGAAAUGGGUAAAACUGUUAAGAAUGAUCACAGCAUUGUUAAGUUGUUUUCAGGAAUUAUCCAUUGCUUGUGUGUCUUCAGCCUUUAACUAUAGUAUAGAGUUUUAAAUAUCUUUGAUCAAUGUUUUUGAUAGAUAAAAUAAAUGGAAUACAAUUUUUAUUAUAUCCUCUAAAAUAUUGCCAGUUAACUUUUCGACACCUCAGCAUUUUCAAGCUAUGUCUUUUAAGUAUGUGGUGUUUUCAUUGCUAUGUAAUUCAUGGUCAAUGUUUCUUACUAAAUUCACUUUACAAGUUGGUGUGUUUCUGCAAACAGAAACAUAAAUUAUAUGGCUAACAUCAUUUACUAAUACCCUGGUGACAAUAAGAAUGAAUAUACUUCAAAUUUUGACUGAACAAAAUCCGAUCAUACACGGUUUAAAAUAUUUAUGUCUUGGUUCCCUUCUUUAAAAAUAUUUAUUCGUUCAUACAGUCAACAAUAAUUAUCGAGUGCCAGGUACUAUUCUAAACCCUGAAGACAAAGCAGUAAACAGAAUCGUUACUCUCAUGAAGCUCACAUUAAAAUGGAAGGAGACACAAAAUUAACGAGUAAACAAAUAUAUAUAUGUAAUACAUCAGAUGAUAAGUGCUAUGAAGAAAAAUAUAACAGAGCAAAGUAGCAGAAAGUAGGGAGAUUUUAUUUUAAAUUGAGAGAUCAUUGAAGUCCUCCAUAAUAAAAUAACUUUGAACAUAGAUAUGAAUGAAGUAAAGGAAUGAGAGCCUGAGACAGAAAUGUGCUUGGUAAGUUCUAGGAACAGGAAAAGUGUCAACUGCUUGAUGUAGAAUGAGGGACAGAGCUAGAAGAAAUGAGGUAUCUGGGAUGCCAGAUUAUGUAGGCCUUUUGGCAGGGAUAGAAAUUGGAAUGUUAUUUUUUGUGAGAUGGAAAGGUAGUGAAGGGUUUUAGGCAGGAAAGGAAUAGUAUCUGACUAAUGUUAUCACUAUGGAUGCUGUGUGGAGAGGAGAGGGCACAAUGGUCAAGAGAGGAAGCAGGGAGACCUGUAUCAAAGAUAAAUACCAUAGCACAGAAAAGUCAUAGAUCAACUUCAUGUACCUUGUGCUCUAUUGAUAAUAUAAUCCAAGUGUAAGUUUAAGGAGCAAAGGAACCAAUGGUAGUUUCAAGCUUUCUGAAUUUUCAGUUCUUCAAAAUGAACUUUGUAUUCAUUUGGUGGCUUCUCUAAGGAGUGCUCUUAGCAUUGGGGUUGGAAUUUAUUUCAGCAUUGUUCUAGUGAUCCACUGCUACACAAUUAAUAGCCUCCAAACUUAGUGGCUUAAAAUAAUGACAACAUUGGUUUUGCUCACAUAUCCAUCAUUUUGGCAGGGUUCAACAGUUUGGCUCCUCUCUGUGCCACUUGGCAUCAACUGAGAGGUCUGGAGCCAUCUAAAGGCUGGGUUGCUCACAUCUGGAAGCUGAUACUGACUAUCAGCUGUGUCCACAGAUGGGGCUGUGGUCAGAAUGCUUCAUUGUGACCCUUCCAUGUAACUCCAUGGCAUCCUCACAGCAUGGUGACUUGGUUCUAAAUGGCCAGAAUCCCAAUGUUAUCUGGGUUCCAAGACUGAGCCAGGUGGAAGUAAUAAUAGUUGAUCUAACUUAGCCUUGGAAGUCAUGUAUCAUCCAUUCUGGUGCUUCUGUUCAUUACAAGUAAGUUUGUAAGGCUGGCCCAUAUACAAGAGAAGGAGAAUUAGUUGCCACCUUCUGAUAGGAAGAAUAUCAAACUCCACUACAAGACAGAAGUGAAUUGGCAGACUGGGUGACCUUAGGAACAUCUCCAGAACCAGAAAGGACAAAUUUUCUUUGCUUGGCUUUAGGAGGACACAGAGGCUUUGAAGAAAAGUGUGUAAAAAUCAAAAGAGAUUUUAAAAACCUCAAAAGGCAGCAACAACUGAACCUGAUACUUUGUUUCUUCAAUAAACAGCAGCAAGCUUGCUAUAUUUUAGGAACCAAGAACCCAAGUCUUUAGGAAGUCUAAUAAAGAUGCAAAAAUAAGUCCUGAGAUCUUCUAUAGAAGGGCCUAUACCUCAUUCAUGUAGUCUUGAUACCUAGCACUAUAUCUGCAAUACUUAAUAAAUGUUAGCUAAAUUAAAUAUUCGAUUAUGAUAAGUAUUACGUUAAGUUAUAUACAAAGAUUUAAGGAAGCACAGAGGAGCAAGAAACACACCAUAGGGGGUAAUGGAAGGCUUCACAGAAGAUUUGGCAUUUAAAUUCCGUCUUGAAUGACUGAUAUUUUAGGUAAGGGGCAUCAGAAAUAUCAUAUACAAAGGCAUAGACCAUGGUUAAUGAAGAGAACAGCAAGUUCAAGUUUCUCCAUGGCUAAAAUGUAUCCUUAACACAGAGUAGGCAUUCAAUAAAUAUUGCUGAAUAAAUGAAUGAAGGAAGAGAGCUAGAUGAACAGCCUAGAAAAGUAAGUUUUAUGUUGUGCUGUCCAUUUUGUGUUGCUGUAAAGGAAUACCUGAGGCUUGAUAAUUUAUAAAGAGGUUCAUUAGGGUCAUAGUUCUGCAGCCUACACAGGAAGCAUGGCACCAGCAACUGCUUCUGAUGAGGCCUCAGGAAGUUUCCAAUCAUGGUGGAAGGCAAAGGGCAAGCUGGCAGGUCACAUGGUGAGAGGGAACAAGAAAGAGAGGAGGGAAGCCCCAUACUCUUUUUAACAAUCAACUCUUUUGUGAACUCAUAGAGUGAGAACUCACUCAUUAGUGGGGAGGGCACCAGGUUAUUCUUGAGGGAUCUACCCUCAUGACCCAAACACUUCCCAUUAGGCCCAGCCUCCAACAUUGGGGAUCAUAUUUCAACAUGAGAUUUAGAGGGUGUAAACAUCCAAAACGUAUUAGGUUGUGAAUCUUUAUGCCAUGGAAGGAAUGUUGGAAUGUAUCCCACACAUGAUGUGGUACUAUAUAUGUUUACAUAGGAAAAUAUUGUAACUAGAGGUGUGUUUAAGAGAAAUAAGUUUUGUAAGAAGAAUGUAUUGAAAUGAAGAAAGAUUGAACUAUGGCAGGUCAGACCAAUUUGGAAGCUACUGCAAGGGUUUCCAAAGGUAAGACAGUAGAAACAGGGAGGAGAAAGAGCAUACAAAAGAGUUUUGAUGGUAGAAUUGAUAGAUUUGUUAACUUGACCCAAUUAUUGGAAGUAAAAGUGAAGGAGAGAAGGAUACUUCUUAGUUUUCUGGCUGGGUGACUAGAUGAUUGUGUCAUCAAAUGAGAUAGAAAAUAUAGAGGAAGAAUAUAUUUUGUAUGUUUUGGGUUUUGUGUGUGUUUGUCAUAUAAUCUGCUCAGUCCUAUGUGUCAUAUAUGGUGUGGGACACUGAAUGGGAGAUGUCUGGUGGACAUUUGGAGCUAUGUAUACAUCCCCCACAUUCUGAGUCAUAUAAUAAUAUUUAAACAACAGACUUAAAAUUGGACCUCAUCCAAGUAGCUGAAAACUAGCCUCAUAUUGUUUCUUCCUGGUUCAAAAAUAUUUCUGGGAUAUUUCAUAUGACAGUGGUGACCUACUUCUGCCCUAUAGCAUUUUCUCUGUUUUUCCCUGCUGCUAUCAAUAUUAUGAACUGGACACCACGUUGAGCACUGACUCUUGAAGAUAACUUCUGUUUCUGUUUCAUCCCUUGAUUCUUCACAUCCCUCAUGUGGACCUCAGAUUCUUAUGAUGGCAGUGAGAUGACAACUCUGAAAUUUCUGAAGGUGGCAUGGUUGUUCUGUUCUAACCCAGGAGACACUGCUAUGAUGAAAAAAGAAAAAAUACUCUUCCUAGCAUUUGUGUGGCAGCCAUGGAGGUGUGUCUCUUAGAUCUCCCUUCAAGAGAAUCUGUUGUUGGGCUCCUACUAGACGGGCAGUCUUCAGCCUCUGCAUCUUUGGAUCCACCAUGGCAUUUAUGCUGAGGUCAUGCUUCCUAAAGGCUUCUUUCAGUGAAUGGCUGAGCAUGGCAGUAACACUAGAGCUGAGCUCUUUCUGCCCAAUAUGGGAUUUCUCUAAUGGCACUUUUGCUCAUGGAAACCUUUUGACUUCGCCAAGGCUUUCCUAGAUAUGAUAAUCUGAAAACCUUCCUGCAUAGUGCUCUGAAGUCUAUACCCCCUAACUACUGUUCUCUCCCCUUUUAUCCCUCACAAGUGUUUUUGUCAAUAAAUUUCUCAUAUGUCUAA